CGCGCUGAGGGCGGGACGGGAGCGCGUCCUGGUCCCGGCGCCUUCCCGGGCUUCGAAACGCCUCUCACCCCCCUCAGAGGCUCUGGAGUCACCAUAAAGCACACAUUCACCGCAACACAGAUCUGACGAGUGCAGGAGGUGGAGGCCUUCUCGGGCCAUCACGGGCAGGAGCGCGCAAGUCCCUGAGGGAGAGCUAGCGGAGGGCUUCGGGCGUGGGAUUGCAGAAUGGAGACGGAUGCAGAGUAAUCCUGUUGCCUAAAUACACACACAGAUUCGAGUCAUUUCCCCAGGCACAUAUUUCACAUUCCAGUUGCAACUCUCAUGUCUGUGUGAGCUGGAAGUCUCAAGGUCAAGGUUUGGGUUUUCCUUACAUCACAAGGAAGACAAGAAAGCAACCAGUUGGCAAAGAAGGAACCAAUUCCCCACGUGCCUUUGUUUUAAAUGCCAAAAAUAUUAAUGAACUGAUCUGUAGCAGUUAAAAGCAUAUUCGAGAAGAAUCAGGCUCCCAGAGACAGAAAUAAAUACACACGAGCGAUGCAAUCGGGUAGUAACUGGAGCCUUUGAGAAUGAGAUGAACAAAUUUCACAAGUGCAUGAGAGGACAUGACACUGUCAAGCAUGCCAAAGGAACAAAGUCAAAUCAAAAAGGCACAAUGUCACCCUUGGGAGAAGAAGAGGAGGUGUGCAGCUUUCACUGCUGUGGUGCACGAGAGCCUGAGGUUGAGGCGACGACCUUCGGGAUUCCUGCAAGAUUCAGCUGCUUACCCAGCUCUUCUCUGCAGGUGUGAGGAAGGGUCGUAUGAGUUAUUGCAUGUGUUUUGUUGAAGUUGGUGAUUUUUUUGGUGUGUGUGGUUCACUCACAGGAUGAAACAAGUCUGUGAAAACUCAAAGUGCAUCAUUGCUUUCAGAGGAUAAGUUUCAUCUUGUCAUUUAUAGCAAUUUUUUUUUCCCUGAAGAUAAAAACCAAAAGUGCGUUUUAUA